GACGAACGCUGGCGGCGUGCCUAAUACAUGCAAGUCGAACGAGAGCACCUGGUGCUUGCACUGGUCAAUCUAGUGGCGAACGGGUGAGUAACACGUGGGUAACCUGCCCAUCAGAGGGGGAUAACAUCCGGAAACGGAUGCUAAAACCGCAUAGGUCUUCGAACCGCAUGGUUUGAAGAGGAAAAGAGGCGCACGCUUCUGCUGAUGGAUGGACCCGCGGUGCAUUAGCUAGUUGGUGAGGUAACGGCUCACCAAGGCCGUGAUGCAUAGCCGACCUGAGAGGGUGAUCGGCCACAUUGGGACUGAGACACGGCCCAAACUCCUACGGGAGGCAGCAGUAGGGAAUCUUCCGCAAUGGACGCAAGUCUGACGGAGCAACGCCGCGUGAGUGAAGAAGGUUUUCGGAUCGUAAAACUCUGUUGUUAGAGAAGAACAAGUGCUAGAGUAACUGUUAGCGCCUUGACGGUAUCUAACCAGAAAGCCACGGCUAACUACGUG
rnacentral:rRNA from 1 species